rnacentral:rRNA from 1 species
AUGGCUGCGAAGAAACCUAAGGAAGGCUGCGGUCAUGGAGUUCAUGGCAUCACGCCUACGGAGAUUCUCACCGUGGCCUUACCCGAGCUCACUACCCUAGUGGAGUGCGGGGCAGGCCACAACUUCACCACCAUCGACGUCAACAACAUUGCUGCUCCGACACCGACCAGGUGCUGUACAGAGUGCCCGAGUCGCAACGCCACCAUCAACAUCUUCCCCGAGCUUGCCUCCCCUGCCGUGUGCCACGAGGCCCUCGACAUCGAGAUUGUCCAUGUCACUGCACCAACACCCGCCAUCUGCUCGACACGUGAUCUGGCCCAUGGUAGUGUUGAUGAAAAACUCAUGAUAUUCACUGUGAUGAGGCUGUUCUCUACACCGGAGGUUGGACCGCCAACAUUUGCGGUUUUGGUGUCUACCAAUGCCAAUGAGGUCACGGCACACCAGUUCAUGCCCGACGUGGCACCGGGUUGGAAGCCACAAGGGAAGGUGGUCCGGCCAGCACCAUGGCCCUCUUUCCUUGACGAGGGUACCAGUGCAGAUUGUGGCGACAUCAUUGAGCCGCCACCAAGCGUCGCCACAGUGCCAACCAAGGCAGUGGCUCCCUAUGUGAUUUGGCGACAGAUAAUGCUGGUCGAUAAUGACCAUAGUAAGGAGUACCAAGUAGAUCUUGUUUUCGGGCCUCAACCAGAGUGCAAAACUAUUAUCCCUCAACCUCUUGGUCAACCAGGAGAAAUCGGUAACUGGAAUAUUGUUGCAAACCAUGCUGGAACAAAGCCAGAUGAACAGUGUGAUUUUAUUUGUCUCCCCGCGAAGGAUAGUUUGUUAACAAAUAGGAAGGUACGAGAUGCAUCCGGGCCAAUUAGAGUGCAAAGCGAUGGAUAUCCACAUUCAUAUUCCGAGGUGGGACAAAGAAUUUCAACAUCAUGUACACAUGCAGCCUUAUCUGUUUCGACAAGAGCUUAUAACUCCAGAAUGAUUUCUGAAAGCAUGUGUGCCAAUAAUAGGGCCCAUAAUGUACGGCAAUGGCUGCUUCUCAUGGGGAACAUCUGCAGCUGUGUGAGAGCGCCUCACAUGUUUGAGAAUGUGAAUAAAUUCUUUGAUGCAGGCGAGACUCGAGUGGCACUGGAUUCUCUGACAUUAGAUGUUCUUCAGAUAGCUUCCUACUUGGGUACUGUUGGGACUAGGGCUUGUUUG